rnacentral:rRNA from 1 species
AUUGAACGCUAGCGGGAGGCCUUACACAUGCAAGUCGAACGGAUUGGCGAACGGGUGCGUAAUGUAUCUGAACGUGCCCAGUCGCGGGGGAUAACUACGCGAACGCGUAACUAAUACCGCAUACUCUUGGCGCGGCCGGUAUCGGAUUAGCUAGUUGGUGGGGUAACGGCUCACCAAGGCGACGAUCCGUAGCUGGUUUGAGAGGACGACCAGCCACACUGGGACUGAGACACGGCCCAGACUCCUACGGGAGGCAGCAGUGGGGAAUUUUGGACAAUGGGGGAAAGCCUGAUCCAGCCAUCCCGCGUGUGUGAUGAAGGCCUUCGGGUUGUAAAGCACUUUUGGCAGGAAAGCGGUACCUGCAGAAUAAGCACCGGCUAACUACGUGCCAGCCGCCGCGGUAAUUC